rnacentral:rRNA from 1 species
UGGGGAAUUUUGCGCAAUGGGCGAAAGCCUGACGCAGCAACGCCGCGUGGGUGAUGAAGGUCUUCGGAUCGUAAAACCCUGUCGUCAGGGACGAAGGUUGUAUGCCUAACAGGUGUGCAGCUUGACGGUACCUGGAGAGGAAGCCCCGGCUAACUCUGUGCCAGCAGCCGCGGUAAUACAGAGGGGGCAAGCGUUAUUCGGAAUUAUUGGGCGUAAAGGGCGCGUAGGCGGUGUCUUAAGUGAGAUGUGUAAUCCCCGAGCUUAACUUGGGAACUGCAUCUCAGACUGGGGCGCUAGAGUGCUGGAGAGGGUGGUAGAAUUCCACGUGUAGCGGUGAAAUGCGUAGAGAUGUGGAGGAAUACCAGUGGCGAAGGCGGCCACCUGGACAGUAACUGACGCUGAGGCGCGAAAGUGUGGGGAGCAAACA